CCCGCCCUGCGGCCCGUGAUCCCGCGGGAUUGGGAUUGGGAUUUGGGAUUGGGAUUUGGGAUUUGGGAUUGGGGGCGCCCGUGAACCGCGGGGUGCAGUGCCCGCCCUGCGGCCCGUGAUCCCGCGGGGAUGGGAUUUGGGAUUGGGAUUUGGGAUUUGGGAUUUGGGAUUUGGGAUGGGGAUUUGGAGUUGGGAUUUGAGAUUUGGGAUUUGGGAUGUGGAUUUGGGAUUUGGGGUUGGGAUUUGAGAUUUGGGAUCAGGAUUGGCAUCAGGAUUUGGGAUUUGGUUUGAGGAUUUGGGAUUUGGAAUCAGGAAUGGGAUCCAGACCCCCUCCAGGGCAGGGAGAGCUCCUGGAGGAUUUGGGGAUAUUUUUAGGGGAACAGGGAUUGGGAAUUUUGGGGUUUUAUCCCAGAAUUGUGAUCCUGGAGGUGCUGGAGGGGAUUGGGAAAUCCAGAGGGAAUUCCCAGGUUUUAUUCCCAGUUUUUGUCACUGGGAAAUGCUCGGAGGGGACUGGGAUGAUCCAGGGGUAUCCCAAAGCUCCCGGAAUCCAAGGGAAUUUUGAUCCCUCCAAGGAAUCCCCAACCCUGAGACCUUUUUGGGAUCUCCUCCCAAAAUUUAGGCCUUUUUGGGAUGGAAAAUCAGGAAAAUCCCCCCCAAAAAAGCCCCAGAUUCGGGCCAUUCCCAAACCCCAUUCC
rnacentral:lncRNA from 1 species